GGGGGCGACCUGGUUUCGACGUGGGUUACAAAGCAGCGCAGUGCAUACCGAGGCUCAGCUACCUCGUAAAUCCAACUGAAACGCAAUAACCGCGAACGACGAACGUUUCGCACUAGCCGCUUAAUACCGGCUAGCUCUGCACCGGUUGGUUCAUGGGCCGGGUAACGCAAGUUACAGCAGAGUCAUUCACAUGAGCUCGCGUGUUGCAGGGUCACUUUGCAGUACGCUAAAAAAUAGGUGACUCGCCGUUUGCCAGCCUGCCGGUUGGCGGGUAAGCGGUCAAAUCAAACAACCUGGCUAAGUAUGUAGAUCUGUCUGUAGAGGGCUUGCGGACGGGGGUUCAAUUCCCCCCGCCUCCACCA
rnacentral:tmRNA from 1 species